ensembl:lncRNA
GUUGCAUCAAGGUCGAACGUGCUCGGACAUAUGAGCUGAUGUGAGGAGAUGCCAAAUUCAAUGACCAUAGGACAGUCCAGGCUUAUCAGAGCUGGUGAGGGUGCAAUGACUCGCAGUCCACCCUGGAGCGACGGUACUGAUCUCACCAGAGUUUUGUCCACUUACACCCAGGCUGAUUCAUAGGGGUGUGUUUAGCCUGGCAGCACUGGCAAAUCCCAGAAACAAGGCAACUGAGACAUCUGAGACCAGCCCUGAGUAUGCUGCUAAUAAGUUCAUCUGAGACUGAGGGUCUGAGAUGCUUUGGCAAUGUUGCCCUAAUUUGGAGAUCUGGUGCACGUGGAUUGGGAGUGCACGGGUCAUGCUUCUCGGCAGCGUAGACAACUCUGUGUAUCUGAGAUACUGGUCUCUCACUCAGCGUGCUAUUUUUUAUUCUUUUUUUGGCAGCUGGAGGAAUAGUAAAUGGGGUUUGAGGAAGCAAAGUUGAAUGCGGUGGGGAGGAGCAGGGUGAAGGGAGACCGACUUUGAGAAGGUGUCUGUAGCCAGCAAAAGUAAACUUCCCAGAUCCCAUGGAUGGGUGUGUUCAAAAUACGCCUGAAGUUCUCCAGCGAAUAGAAGUGCUGCCUGUGCUUUGUUUUUGCAGAGCAGACAGCCAAAGCAAACAGGCAGGUUUUCUGCCCUCAGGCCUGUUAGCAAGGGAAGGGGAACUGAGGAGCAUUAAUGCUGGAUUUGCAUUCAGUUUGGUGUGAAACUGCUCAGAUAUUGGAAGGCCUGGCAUAUACGUGCUUUAGGUGAGUCAUUUUUAUACAAGCUCAGGGUAAUCUUAGCUUGAGAGAAAUUCUGCUUGCACCAAUAUCUUUCUUAGGGCCUGUGCUGUGCUUCCUCAUAAUAUUUCAUCCGAGGUUUCCAAAGGCCUUAGCGACACAUUAAUGAACCUUUGAAACUCACUGCACUAUUAUCCCCAUUUUACAGAGGGUGAAGCUGAGGCGCAGAGAGGCAGGUAUGGCUGUUUGUUUAAGCUCACACAAAAGACUGCCUGAUUCUCAUCCCCGUGCUCCGAGUUACUAUAUCACUUCACUAGAUCAACGCAAGCUUGGGCCUGUUCUACAGGCCGAGGUUGUUGCAGGAGGAAGCGAAGCAAGAAAACAGACCUGGACGAGGAAGAGCGAACGGGGAAAUAACAGAAGAGAUCAAGGCGAGCCUACAGCUUUGCACGACAAACCGCCCUGGGAGGUGGUACUGGGAUGCAGCUCGUUCUCGUGAGAAAGGGGCCUGGAUCCAGUCCCCACACCCAGGCACCCCGUGCCUUGGAGGGUGCCCGACCCGGGGCCGAGGGCGUGCAGCCUUGCUGUGGUUGACUCUUAGCCACAUGCCGGCUGACUUCAUGCCUCCUUCCUACAAGACAGACUCCCGCCUCAACGGGAGCCCUGCAGGCAGCCUGAGGCUUCCCUGACACAGAGUCCGCCUGGCCCAGAGGAGCUGGGAUCAAAGCUGCAGUGAAUGAUGUCCUGGGCGAGCCCCCGGGUGUUGUUUUAAGAGGAAUAAACCUUGUUGGCUAGAAAGGGUCCA